CAGCUGUUCAAUAUGCACACACAGAGCUACUCCAGUUUUUGGAACAGAAUAAGAAACUUGGAAAGUUAAAUGGAUUUUGACAGCUGUUCAAAACUCGAAUUACAUGAUGCAGACUAUCCUCAGCGGUGGGAGGGCUGGAGCAGCGUCCGGGGCAGGUGAUGGCAGGGACUCUCCCCUUCAGCCGGGCAAAGUUUUCAGUCAAACAACUGAAGACAAGAAGAGUUCUUAUGUGGAUCAUGAGGAACCCAAAGACACAUCAAGACCAGCAAGUAAGAAUGUCCUACGGAGACACAUGGAUAUUUGGAAUAGAUGAGAUCGGACCUAAGAAUUCUGCUGACACUUUCAAAGUAUGAAGAUAGCA